AACGAACGCUGGCGGCAUGCCUAACACAUGCAAGUCGAACGAGACCUUCGGGUCUAGUGGCGCACGGGUGCGUAACGCGUGGGAAUCUGCCCUUGGGUUCGGAAUAACAGUGAGGAAUUACUGCUAAUACCGGAUGAUGACGAAAGUCCGAAGAUUUAUCGCCCAAGGAUGAGCCCGCGUAGGAUUAGCUAGUUGGUAAG
rnacentral:rRNA from 1 species